rnacentral:lncRNA from 1 species
UGCCAGGCCAUGACAAUGCUUGCGUUCACUUUACCUGAGAUUAAACCAUGACCUAGAAGUAGAAACCUGGAAUUACAAAUCCCUGAGGAAUGAGAGACCUCUGUGCCUGAGACCGUAAGGAACAGAGCUUGGGGGUCCUGGGGUGUCAAACACCAAGGAUCUCUUAAUUAGCAAGUUCAAAGGGAAGGGAUGAAUAGAAAAGAAAAAACUCAGAAAUGACCCCAGGAGGGAGACCAUAGGGACAGGUUUAGCUCCUUCCCAGCUUGAGUACACAGGAAAUGUCAUUCAGGGAACUGUGACUUGUAAUAUAGAAAGAGGGUUCCUUACAGCACAGAGAGUGGCAACAGAAGCCAGGCGAAAUAGGCAGUGUUCCUAAGUCAGGUCUGGAGUGGCAUUCUGCUGAAUGAACGGGGCUUGAAAGAAAACAAACCUGGAAGAGACCAUGGAAAGCUGCAACCCUGUAAUCGCGAAACUCCCAAAGAUGGGACACCUUGUGCCUGAGAUUCUCCGAGUCCGUACGUGUUGUCUUUUCAUAUGUUACAUACUUUAUAUGUCUGGCUGGAAGAAUUUGGCAGAAAGAGGGCCUCAUGGCUGGAAGAGCAACGGGCCUGUGGUGACACCACGUGUGACUGAAGCUUGCUGUCUCCAAACAAGAUCCAUCCUGGGCCUUCCCAGUUCUGUGAUCCCACAGAUUCCACAUGCUUAAGCUGGUUGGAGUUGGGUUUCUGUCACUUGCAACCAAAAGAGCCCUGACUAUAGAAUGCAUCCAGCGCCUUGGUAUUCUGUGGAAAGGCAGAACCCUCAGCUGUGUACUGGCAGGAACUCUGGUGCUAGGCCAAGUGAACACGGUAGGGAAGUGGUCCUUAUGCAUUUGUGCAAGAAGAAUUGCUGUGAAUUCCAGGCAAAUGCUAAACCCCUUGGGUGGUGGAGACAGUGAGGACAGCAGGAAGAACUGCCUUAAGAAUCCCCUUUAGACCCUGGACUAAACCACCCCUCCUUCAAAGUCUAUCACUGCAUCAGCUCAGUAGGGCAAGGGAGGAAGGGCAUGAUGGAAGGAAAGAGAAAGAGCUAUUAAAAACAUAUGUAUGAAUGCCUCCCCCCCAAUCCCCCCACCCUAGCCCUAAACCCUGCCACUGUGAACUGAAGGACUCUGAGGCCAAAAUAGAUUCUCAAGACUGUAUUUACCAGAUUAGAAAAUAGCUUUGGGGUAGAAACCCUCAAUCUCAAAUUAUAAUAAAUAAAAACUUAGACCUGCCUGGACCUUUACAGUUGUUAAAGCACUACUAUAUAUAUUAUUCAUAUAUCUGCAUUCAACAAACACCCAUUAGCCACCUCUGCCGCAGGCUCUGUGCUAGGCUGGGGGAGACAAGCACAGAAGACAUGCUUUCUGCUUUCUGGGAGCUUGGAGUGUAAUCAUGGAGACAGUUUUGUAAAGGUAGUGCCCAGAGCUGUGAUGGAGUUAUAUACAGAGCACUGUGGAUGUGAGGAGGAACAUCUAACUGAAGGCAGGGAGCUGAGCCUAUCAAACACGGAAAUAGACAUCUGCAGAGGCAUGAGGUGGUGGCAGGGAGG